UUAGCGCGUCGGACAAGAAGCUUAGCGGCAUUUCUUGCGGCUCUUUACGUUCUAAAUUCAAAUUCCGCCG